rnacentral:rRNA from 1 species
CCAGACUCCUACGGGAGGCAGCAGUGAGGAAUAUUGGGCAAUGGAGGCAACUCUGACCCAGCCAUGCCGCGUGAGUGAAGAAGGUUUUCGGAUUGUAAAGCUCUUUCGGAUGUGACGAUGAUGACGGUAGCAUCUAAAGAAGCCCCGGCUAACUACGUGCCAGCAGCCGCGGUAAUACGUAGGGGGCGAGCGUUAUCCGGAUUUACUGGGUGUAAAGGGAGCGUAGACGGUUAAUCAAGUCUGAAGUGAAAGCCCGCGGCUCAACUGCGGAACGGCUUUGGAAACUGAGUAACUGGAGUGCUGGAGGGGCAGGCGGAAUUCCUGGUGUAGCGGUGAAAUGCGUAGAUAUCAGGAGGAACACCGGUGGCGAAGGCGGCCUGCUGGACAGUAACUGACGUUGAGGCUCGAAAGCGUGGGGAGCAAACAGGAUUAGAUACCCCCGUAAC